CUUCCAGAUCAGCUUCCUUCUCGUUCCAUCUCUACGUGCCCAGAGCUUCAAAUACAGCCCUCCCAGUCAGACUGCCACAAAACUUCAAUCAGCUGCUUUUCCGCCUGGAAGAGAUGGACAUAGAACCUAGAUGGCAUUUCAGAGAACAGCUCCUUGCCGGCAGAGUCAAAAAUGAAGAGUUCCUGAGACCAGAAAAGUGCAUCUCAGAAGGGGACACGGCAAGAGUCAAGUCAAGGUUUCCCACCAGCUCUCUGUGGACGUGGCUCAACAGCAGACAGAGCAAACAUGCCAUGCGCAUGGGGGCUUUUACACAUGCUCUGCCUCCUCCGAGUCCCAGAGAGACAGCGAGCACAGUCCAGAGUGCCUGAAGGGCAGAGGCAUAGCUUCCACCCACCUGGCAUCGUGACCUGGCUCACCUUUCCCAACCCCAAGCACAAACAUCGCAGGAGCAGCCUGACUGCCCACCUGGCGGCCCAGAACACUAAGCAGGCUGACAAGUGUGCCGGUGUCCAGAAGGCCACUCUGUACUCCGUUAACCAAAUGGAUUCUCAGAUCACAUAAGGAUUCUUGAUAAAGGAGGUCACGGAGGAAGCCUGGGGACGGUGGGGACUCUCCAGCCCCAGCUUACCAGAGUGUAGUUCUUCUGGAAAUGGGUCCCGUCGCUGCGGAACAUCUGCACCAGGGCUGUCUUGCCUACGGCUGGAUCUCCUGAAGCCAGAGCAGAGGGACAGAUAUCACUCGGGUCCCAUCAGGCACGAGAGCCUCCUCCUACUCCAGAGGGCUUGACACGAAACCAGAAACUUCGCUGAGUUUUCAGAGCGUGUAUCUGCAGCUCUUGCGAUAAGCAGGGAGGUAGCCAGCGGGGUAACUGGUCCAGGAGACCCAUCUUGAGAGCUUACCAAGGCCAUACUACAUCUCUGUACACCUCACAGCCCUGUCAACCAGAAUGACCUAGCAGGUAACAGGGUUUAAGGAGGGCUCCUGAGCCCUGGCAACAGAAGUGACACUCUUCCACCAAAGCACACCCCAUGGGAAAACCUGUCACUUUCAAACUCCAAUUUGCUCUAGAGUCUGGCCAGCAAAAAGGAAUGAGAAGCCAACUCGUGACCUCACCUGGCUGAGCCACUGCCUGCGUUCUCAUCUACGCUGACGGUAAAGAUGUCCAGAGGUUGCCUUCACUCUGCGAAAACUCAUUUUCUUCUGCUCAUUUUUUAUUAACAUUUCUUCUUUUAUUUUAUAUACUGAUCAGUUUCCCCUCCUUCCUCCCCCCCACUCUCAUCUACCCCCUCCCUAUCUACCAACUUCUCCUCUGUCUCCACUCAGAAAGGAGCAGGCCUCCCAUGGGCUUGAGCACAGCAUGACACAUCACGGUGAGGUAGGACCGAGCUCCUCCCACAAGGUGAUCCAGCAUGGAGGACAGGUUCCUAAAAUCCUGCUAAGCGCCAGGGACAGGCCCUGAUCUCCCUUCUAGGAGCCUGACAAACAGACCAAGCUACACAACUGUCACACGCAUGCAAAGGGUCUAGGUCGGCCCCAUGCAGGCUCCCUAACUGUUGGUCCAGAGUCCAUGUGCUCCCACAAUCUUAGGUCAGCUGUCUCUGUUGCCUCCUCCAUCAUGACUUGGUGAAAACUAAUUUUUUUUUUCCAAGACAGGUUUUCUCUGUGUAGUCCUGGCUGCCCUGGAACUCACUUUGUAAGCCAGGCUGGCCUCGAACUCAGUGAGAUCUGCCUGUCUCUGCCUCCCAAGUACUGACAUUAAAGGCGUGCACCAUCAUCACCCAGCAAAAACCCAUUUUCAAGUGAUGUACUUCAUUUCAUUGUGCUAGGUGAAUGCUGAGCCAUGGACUUAGGAGCAUCCCCUGCCACCGCCACCCCGCAUCCGCAGUCAUAUCCUAUAGCCACCUGGCCCAGCUGGGCUGAGCCCUUCUCAGUCUUUGUUCAAGCAGCUCCAGGA